UACCCUACUGGUGCGCGAGAUGAGUAUUCUAAGGCGCUUGAGAGAACUCAGGAGAAGGAACUCGGCAAAUUGACACCGUAACUUCGGAAGAAGGUGUGCCUUUAGUAGGUGAACCUGUACAAGGGGAGCCCAAUGAGGUUGCAAAAAAUCGGUGGCUGCGACUGUUUAAUAAAAACACAGCACUCUGCAAACACGAAAGUGGACGUAUAGGGUGUGACGCCUGCCCGGUGCUGGAAGAUUAAAUGAUGGGGUGCAAGCUCUUGAUUGAAGUCCCAGUAAACGGCGGCCGUAACAAUAACGGUCCUAAGGUAGCGAAAUUCCUUGUCGGGUAAGUUCCGACCUGCACGAAUGGCGUAACGAUGGCCACACUGUCUCCUCCUGAGACUCAGCGAAGUUGAAAUGUUUGUGAUGAUGCAAUCUCCCCGCGGAAAGACGGAAAGACCCCAUGAACCUUUACUGUAGCUUUGUAUUGGACUUUGAACAGAUCUGUGUAGGAUAGGUGGGAGGCUUUGAAGUGUGGUCGCUAGAUCGCAUGGAGCCAACGUUGAAAUACCACCCUGGUGUGUUUGAGGUUCUAACCUAGGCCCGUAAUCCGGGUCGGGGACAGUGCAUGGUAGGCAGUUUGACUGGGGCGGUCUCCUCCCAAAGCGUAACGGAGGAGUUCGAAGGUACGCUAGGUACGGUCGGACAUCGUGCUAAUAGUGCAAUGGCAUAAGCGUGCUUAACUGCGAGACUGACAAGUCGAGCAGAUGCGAAAGCAGGACAUAGUGAUCCGGUGGUUCUGUAUGGAAGGGCCAUCGCUCAACGGAUAAAAGGUACUCUGGGGAUAACAGGCUGAUACCGCCCAAGAGUUCAUAUCGACGGCGGUGUUUGGCACCUCGAUGUCGGCUCAUCUCAUCCUGGGGCUGUAGCCGGUCCCAAGGGUAUGGCUGUUCGCCAUUUAAAGAGGUACGUGAGCUGGGUUUAAAACGUCGUGAGACAGUUUGGUCCCUAUCUUCCGUGGGCGCUGCAGAUUUGAGGAAGCCUGCUCCUAGUACGAGAGGACCGGAGUGGACACACCUCUGGUGUAUCGGUUGUCACGCCAGUGGCAUUGCCGAGUAGCUAUGUGUGGAAGAGAUAACCGCUGAAAGCAUCUAAGCGGGAAACUCGUUUCAAGAUGAGAUCUGCCGGGGCCUUGAGCCCCCUAAAGAGUCGUUCAAGACCAGGACGUUGAUAGGUCGGGUGUGGAAGCGCAGUAAUGCGUUAAGCUAACCGAUACUAAUUGCUCGUGCGGCUUGAUC
rnacentral:rRNA from 1 species